rnacentral:rRNA from 1 species
UACGUAGGUGGCAAGCGUUGUUCGGAAUUAUUGGGCGUAAAGGGCGCGUAGGCGGGUCUUUAAGUCAGGGGUGAAAUCCUGGAGCUCAACUCCAGAACUGCCUUUGAUACUGGCGAUCUUGAGUCCGGGAGAGGUGAGUGGAACUGCGAGUGUAGAGGUGAAAUUCGUAGAUAUUCGCAAGAACACCAGUGGCGAAGGCGGCUCACUGGCCCGGUACUGACGCUGAGGUGCGAAAGCGUGGGGAGCAAACGGG